ACCCAGCCCCAACCGGGAAGAUUCCGCCCGCAGCGGCAAAUUCAAGGAAGUCCUCCCCACCCCCAGCACAAACAUGCACACUCUCCCAGCAAGGGGCUAGCCCCCCCUCCCCGGAAGACCCCGGUGGGGAGGGGAGGGCGCCCCCGGCUAGGAGGCUCCUGGGUGCACCUCCAAGUCUCUGUCCCUGUGGAAUUCCAAGCGGCUGGGGUAGAGCCCACCCAGUGCCCCAUGCCCCACCCCAUCGCGGGGGCCCCCUAUCCCCAGCCAGACCUCCCGGUGGGACACUGCUGCGCCUUCCCAGGGCGCCAAUUCAGCUCUCAGCCCCAGAAGGCCGCCUGGGUGCGGGCAGGACAGGGGUUAGGCCAGAGCGCGCUGAGCACUGCCGGUGGGAGGAGUGGGGGACUCCUGGGCCCUCCAGGCUCAGGUUCCUGGCCCCCUACCCCAGGAUUUCAGAGCCCCCCUGCAAAUCCUGCAAGCACAGGGUGGGCGGGUGCAAGAAGGGGUGUGUGCCUGGGAGGCGCUUCCAGGAAUCUCCCGCCCGCGCUGCCCAAACAUCCAGGAAAAGAGGGCAUAUACAGGGCAUAUGCAGCUUGGGAGACGUUGGGAUUCUGGGAGCCAAGUGAGGGGGCAGGCCCGGCCCACUACCUCCCGUUGCUCCAGGAAAGACCACCUGCCUAAGUCCACGUGGGCAUCAAUCCCUGCUCUGCUGGAGGUCCUUAGACCGGUGACUCUCCUGAACCUCAGCUUCCUGCUCUGUAAAAUGGGCAGGAAAUGUCUCCAGCGGGUGGUGAGCAUAAAGAAGACAUAAUGCCCCUGCCCAUUAACAGUUAUUUCCUUAACAGCUACCAUGUUCUAAGCUGGAUGGAUGGUAGGAUGCUGAGAACAAAAGACACAGGUCUUGCCCUCAAGUGGCCUGCAACCCAGUGAAAGAUACCGGCAAGUGGCUAGUGACAAGGGCUGCUCUGAGAUCCCCUCUGAACUCUGCCACCAUGAAGACCUGCUUUCCCUGACACCAGCCAUCCUGUCAGCAGCUGGGAAGUCAAGCCCAAGAUGUCCAGGGAGCACCUCCCC